CCGAGCUGUUGAUGUCGCCGGUCAUGAAGGAGGACUCGGACUGCUUUCGGACCGUGUCGUUCCACAUUCGACGGAUGCGGCUCUGCGGAGACAAGGACACAGGCCAGAACACGACCUGUGCCUCUUCAUUGCUUCGCCCCCUCGACUACCGGAUCAACAACAAUGUCAAGGUUCCGUGUACAGCUCCCUGGGGGAUCCCCGACCGGACGCUUGUUACAGGGCCUUAGCCCCAUAAAUCUGCCUAAUCGAUGGGGUCAUCUGCAAUCCUUUAAUUAAAUAGCGCUCGUUCAUUUUGAUGACUUAACUGUACUUGGGUCAGUUUCUUGUGCAAUGGAGGAUAUUAGUAAGUUUGCAGACGCACUUAUUACCAGCAAAUUAAUAGAGUAAUGUAUCAUUUUUCUCUCAUUACAACCUGUCUGGUCACUCACGGCCCUUGCUACUUCAGCCAUUAGUUGUGAAAGCAGGAUUAUCAUAGCUGGUGAAAACAAUGGGCCGGAUUCAUAAAACCGGUCCCCAUUAGGGAAGGCUGGUUCUGAGCCCCCCGACACCGCAUUCAGAAAUCAUCUUUACGCCGUCGUAAAAAAAGCUAGAUAUCACCAGCGAUAUGCAAAUGUGCAACGUCUGGAAUGACAGGAGAGCUGUGAAUGAAGUGGCGCUUUCAGGACUGCUUUUCUCCGCGUUCCUUCAACGCCUCAUGCAGGUUUCGUCUUAAUUAAGUCACUGCCAUCACCGUCGACUAAAAUUGGAGCGAUUGUCAAGACGCCUCGUCUAAUCUCUUCACGAAAUUCUCCAUUUGCGGGGUGGCAUUUAGACCGAGGACAUGUUUUUUGUUUUUUUUUAUUAUUGUUGUCGUUUAUGUAUUUUUUUUUUUUUUAAUUCAUAAAAGCUAAAGGCAUUUUUUCGUGUCAUGAAUCGACUUCCGCAGCUCGUAUAUUUUAACGGCGACGUUUUCUGCCGACCUCAUCAGCACAUUGUACAUCGCGCUGUCCCCGGAAACCGAGGACACAGAUGGGUUGAAAAUGACGCGGCUGUUUGUUUUUUUUGUUUUUUUUUUUUGUUCGGGGGGGGGGGGGGGGGAUAAAAACUUGAACCAGCCGUCGUAGCCGACGGGCGAGAAUGUACUUUGCUGAUUACGCAUUCAUUUAGAAGGCUCAGAGUUAGCAAUAAACAACCACAUCUUUCUGAGUGUUUCCAUUUCUAUCUCGCUCGCAUAAAGCAACAGAGCACGAGGUUACAGCCAUCUUGUUGAAGCACUGUGUAUAAUUAAACGCUUUGAUCUCUAUGCAGAAUCCAGCUUGUACCGUGGGUUGCCACUGCAUGCUUUACUCUAAGGACUAUUUAUAAUUGAACACUGGAAGGAAAUCACACUCUUUGGAAUAUGAAUAUGAUGUUCAAUUACGGCGUAUCAUGCCAAUUCAUCCUAUACUCCAUGUCAGUGUGGGAGGAAUCCAUUAACAAUUGACUUUACAAGCAGACACUUGCAGAAUUCACAUAGUUUGGCAGUCAGAUAGGGUUUUUUUUGUUUUUUUUUUUAGCUUGAAGAAAUUACCAAGCUGGAGCCAGCGUUUGGUUUCCGUCACUGUCACUGUACAAAUGUUCAGCCAAGACCUGCUCCAUUUUUUUUUUUUUUUUUUACUAUCGUA